rnacentral:rRNA from 1 species
CUUACACAUGCAAGUCGAACGGCAGCGCGGGGCAACCUGGCGGCGAGUGGCGAACGGGUGAGUAAUAUAUCGGAACGUGCCCUGGAGUGGGGGAUAACGCAGCGAAAGUUGCGCUAAUACCGCAUACGAUCUAAGGAUGAAAGCGGGGGAUUCGCAAGAACCUCGUGCUCCUGGAGCGGCCGAUAUCUGAUUAGCUAGUUGGUGGGGUAAAGGCCUACCAAGGCAUCGAUCAGUAGCUGGUCUGAGAGGACGACCAGCCACACUGGAACUGAGACACGGUCCAGACUCCUACGGGAGGCAGCAGUGGGGAAUUUUGGACAAUGGGCGAAAGCCUGAUCCAGCAAUGCCGCGUGAGUGAAGAAGGCCUUCGGGUUGUAAAGCUCUUUUGUCAGGGAAGAAACGGUGAAGGCUAAUAUCCUUUGCUAAUGACGGUACCUGAAGAAUAAGCACCGGCUAACUACGUGCCAGCAGCCGCGGUAAUACGUAGGGUGCAAGCGUUAAUCGGAAUUACUGGGCGUAAAGCGUGCGCAGGCGGUUUUGUAAGUCUGUCGUGAAAUCCCCGGGCUCAACCUGGGAAUUGCGAUGGAGACUGCAAGGCUAGAAUCUGGCAGAGGGGGGUAGAAUUCCACGUGUAGCAGUGAAAUGCGUAGAGAUGUGGAGGAACACCGAUGGCGAAGGCAGCCCCCUGGGUCAAGAUUGACGCUCAUGCACGAAAGCGUGGGGAGCAAACAGGAUUAGAUACCCUGGUAGUCCACGCCCUAAACGA